rnacentral:rRNA from 1 species
GACGAACGCUGGCGGCGUGCUUAACACAUGCAAGUCGAACGGUGAACCUCUUCGGAGGGGAUCAGUGGCGAACGGGUGAGUAACACGUGGGCAACCUGCCCCCGGCUCUGGGAUAACUCCAGGAAAUUGUGGCUAAUACCGGAUGUUCACCGCUUCCCGCCUGGGUGUUGGUGCAAAGGGUUUCCGGCUGGGGCUGGGCCCGCGGCCUAUCAGCUUGUUGGUGGGGUAGUGGCCUACCAAGGCGACGACGGGUAGCCGGCCUGGGAGGGUUACCGGCCACACUGGGACUGAGACACGGCCCAGACUCCUAGGGGAGGCAGCAGUGGGGAAUAUUGCGCAAUGGGCGGAAGCCUGACGCAGAGUCGCCGCGUGGGGGAUGACGGCCUUCGGGUUGUAAACCUCUUUCAGCAGGGACGAAGCGGAAGUGACGGUACCUGCAGAAGAAGCACCGGCCAACUACGUG